CUGCUGACUCUCCUCAGACUUUUAAUCCUUCCCUUUUCCCUCUAGACUGUAGUGCAUGAAAAUGUCUUAGCCCUGUGUCAUUGUCACUUGGGUUGGGCUGUGGAUACUCUACUGGCACCAGGAAGUCCUGGUGCCACUUCCUGUCCUAUUCCUGGACAAGCUCUGAGGGGUCUCAAGAGGUGGAACUCCAGCCACCAGCAUGUCCGAAUGAUUGGCAGCUGGUGACACCAAAGCACCAAUAUUUGGGGGUUUAUCUGUACUUGAUGGUAUUUACCCCCUUUGUCAUACAAGCCAGUUUUUAGGUGGAAGCUGCCAAGCAAAUGCAGUACUGAAGCUUUCAAAAGAGGGAGAUUUUCGAACCUGGAAAACCAAACCAGAAAAAAAGAAAAAAAUCCUCCCUGGAGGAAUUUGAAAAAUGAACCUGAUGCUGAUGUACCUGCAUGGAGAGAUUAUUUUACACUUCUUCUAUCGGAGAUAUUGCAAAGGACUCAGGUAGGAUCAAAAGGUGGAGAUUGUAAAAGGUAGAAGAGCAGCUCAAAGGAAGAUUUUUUUUUUUCUUUUAAGA